GCCCCUUUCGUCUAGCGGCCCAGGACGCUGGUCCUUCCGAUCAGAAACAGAGGUUCGAAUCCUUUAGGGGGUA
rnacentral:tRNA from 2 species